UACGAAGGGUGCAAGCGUUGUUCGGAAUUACUGGGCGUAAAGCGCGCGUAGGCGGGCUUAUAAGUCGAUUGUGAAAUCCCUGGGCUUAACCUGGGAACUGCAGUCGAAACUGUAAGUCUUGAAUGUCUGAGAGGAUGGCGGAAUAACCGGUGUAGUAGUGAAAUACGUAGAGAUCGGUUAGAACACCUGAGGCGAAGGCGGCUAUCUGGCGGCACAUUGACGCUGAGGCGCGAAAGCUAGGGGAGCAAACAGG
rnacentral:rRNA from 1 species